AGCGUUUGACAUCCUCAUCGCGGAUUUCAGAGAUGAUUUCCUUCAGUUCGGCUGGAUGAGUGACAGGUGCUGCAUGGCUGUCGUCAGCUCGUGUCGUGAGAUGUUGGGUUAAGUCCCGCAACGAGCGCAACCCUCGUCUUUAGUUGCCAUCAUUUAGUUGGGCACUCUAAAGAAACCGCCGGUGAUAAGCCGGAGGAAGGUGGGGAUGACGUUACGGUCUUACU
rnacentral:misc_RNA from 1 species